GGAGUUGUAGCUCAGUGGUAGAGCACUUGCCUAGCAUGUGUGAAGCCCUGGGUUCGAUCCCCAGUACCA
rnacentral:tRNA from 1 species